CAAUUUAACACAGUCCAUCUCCUCGAUGUCAGAAUGUGGUACAUGCACUGCACUUUGUUUUAAUCCCUGCAGAUCUGCAUGCGAUGAACUCAACUCCCAACCACUCUCACUGGACACAAACCCCCACCCUCGAGCCUCUAUAUAAACCCACCCACGGCGGCCAUUCCUCCACACAGCAGUUCAUCCAAUCUUCCUCGUAAGUGUAUCUGUCUUGGUGUUUGCAUUUGGUAAUGGCGCGCUCCGGUGCUCUUGUGGUGCUCGCGCUGGCCGUCGUCCUCGUCGCGGCGGCGCCGCGUGCCACGGAGGCGCUCACCUGCGGGCAGGUGGUGUCCUUCCUGCAGUCGUGCAUCCCCUACGCCCGCGGGCAGGGUUUGCUCACCAAGUCGUGCUGCAGCGGGGUGAGGAGUCUCAACGACGCCGCCAAGACCACGCCGGACCGCCAGACCGCUUGCAGCUGCCUCAAGUCCACGGUUGCCGGUCUCAAGGGCAUCCAGUCCGGUACUGUUGCCGGCAUCCCGGGCAAGUGCG
rnacentral:lncRNA from 1 species